rnacentral:lncRNA from 1 species
UGUACAUGAGAAAAACGUCCAGUGAAGAAAGAAAUCGUCAUCUAUCUAACUCCAGGGAAUAUUAUCCUUUCCUAGUGACUCAUAAAGAGUAUUAACAUUUUAAAGGAUCUUUAAAAAAAUAUCCAACAUUAAUUAAAUCAGCAGUUUCUAGACUUCACUGAUCAGGAAUUACCCUCUUUCCUCUUUUUCCCUCUUUGGGUAACAGCCAUUAUCAUCCUGCAGACCUAGCGGUCCUGGGAAUUCACUUCAGGCAAUGUUCUAUUAUUGGAUUUUAUCCCCAAGUUUUUUGAGGGGAUUAGGAAUGAGCUCCUGAAUUUUGGGAAAAUAAAUGCUUCUUGCUAAAG